GCCGGGCGCAGUGGUGCAUGCCUACAGUCCCAGCUACUUGGGAGGCUGAGGUGGGAGGAUCACUUCAGCCCAGGGGUUCUGGGCUGUAGUGUGCUGUGCCAGUCGGGUGUCCGCACUAAGUUCAGCAUCAAUAUGGUGAUCUACUGGGGGCGGGGGACCACCAACUUGCCUAAGGAGGGUGAACUGGCCCAGGUCAGAAACAGAGCAGGUCAAAACUCCCAUGCUGAUCAGUAGUGGGAUUGCACCUGUGAAUCUGUGAAUAGCCACUGCACUCCAGUCUGGGCAACAUAGUGAGACCCGGUCUCUU
rnacentral:SRP_RNA from 1 species